rnacentral:rRNA from 1 species
AGAAUCAACGCUGGCGGCGUGCCUAACACAUGCAAGUCGAACGCGAAAGCCCCGAAAGGGGCAAGUAGAGUGGCAAACGGGUGAGUAACACGUGGGUGACCUGCCUUCGAGCGGGGGAUAACGUCCCGAAAGGGACGCUAAUACCGCAUAACACCCUGCCUUUGAAGAGGUGGAGAUCAAAGCUGGGGAUUCGCAAGAACCCGGCACUUGAAGAGGGGCCCGCGUCUGAUUAGCUAGUUGGUGGGGUAACGGCCUACCAAGGCAACGAUCAGUA